GGCUGGUACUUUAUCACUGUGAUAUUUAUCACUUUUCAGGCUUAGUACAUCUGGCCCUCAAUGUCUUGUUCCUCUAUAUCUAACUUUCUCUGACACUGUCUUGCUCCCCUCUCUCUCAUGCACCCCUCCCUCCCUGACACUCUCUCUCAUGUGCCUCUCCCUGACACUCUGUCUUGCUCCUCUCUCUCCCUGACACACUGUCUUGCUCCUCUCUCUCCCUGACACUCUCUCAUGUGCCUCUCCCUCGUGCCUCUCUGUCUCUCCCUGGCACACUCAUGUGCCUCACCCUCUCUCUCCCUGACUCGCUCUCUCAUGUGCCUCUCCCUCUCUCUCCUUGACACUGUCUUGCUCCUCUCUCUCCCUGACAAUCUCACCUGCCUGUCCCUCUCUCCCUGACACUCUGUCUUGCUCCUCUCUGUCCCUGACGCUCUCUCAUGUGCCUCUCCCUUUCUCCCUGACUCUCUCAUGUGCCUCUCUCUCUCUCUGACACUUUCUCUCAUGCGCCUCCCUCUCCCUGACACUCUGUCUUGCUCCUCUCUCUCCCUGACACUCUCUCAUGUGCCUCUCCCUCUCUUCCUGACAAACACUCUCAUGCACCUCUCCCCGACACUCUCUCAUGCUCCUCUCCAUCUCUCUCCCUGACACUCUCUCAUGCUCCUCUCCAUCUCUCUCCCUGACACUCUCUCAUGCUCCUCUCCAUCUCUCUCCCUGACACUCUCUCAUGCUCCUCUCCAUCUCUCUCCCUGACACUCUCUCAUGCUCCUCUCCAUCUCUCUCCCUGACACUCUCUCAUGCUCCUCUCCAUCUCUCUCCCUGACACUCUCUCAUGCUCCUCUCCAUCUCUCUCCCUGACACUCUCUCAUGCUCCUCUCCAUCUCUCUCCCUGACACUCUCUCAUGCUCCUCUCCAUCUCUCUCCCUGACACUCUCUCAUGCUCCUCUCCAUCUCUCUCCCUGACACUCUCUCAUGCUCCUCUCCAUCUCUCUCCCUGACACUCUCUCAUGCUCCUCUCCAUCUCUCUCCCUGACAUACUCUCUCAUGCACCCCUCUCUCUCUCCCUGACACUCUCUCUCUUUCUUACUCCCCUCUCUUUCUCACUCCCUCUCUGACACACUCACUUGCUCCCUUCCCUCUUGCUCCUCCCCGCUCUCUCUGUAACACCCUCCAGUGAUCACAAAAUACGCGUUAUAGCGAAUUGACCCAGUUUCAAAAAUGAGUGGGUCCUGCAGGACGCGUUGAUGCCUGCGUGCUCCGUGUCAGCCAAUAAGAAUUCACUGAUCCGCUCCACUUGUCUGCCCUGAUACACCGACAGCGGCCAGCCGCUUCAGAGCGGCCUGAUCCCACUGCUUCACAGUAACAACCCAGCUAGUGUACCUCCUGGGCAGCAGAAUGUCUUCAGCCUUCACCCUCUUCCUGUAACAGAGACCAGCCGAGCUGUCACGUGCGGAGCCAUCUCACGAAUCCCGAAAGAAGCAUCUGCCGAGCACCGGACAUCGCCUCCUAGAUACCAGCCGUCACCCCUCCUACAAACCCAGUGCUUCAGCACCCUCUCCUUGGCUGCAGCUCCGCUGACCAGGAUGCCAUCAUUGGCGAGUGCCCACACACAGCCAUGGCUACUUCCUCAGCCUUACUUCCCGCACUCGACACCUGCGAGAGAGGCAUGAGCACCCACCACUCCCAGAGAGGCAUGUGCCCACGCCAUCCAGAGCAAGACAGGUGCCCCCCACACCCCAGGCAAGACAAGCACACCCGUACCCCCUGGGCAAGAGAAGCACUCACCUCACCCCAGGAAAGACAAGCACCCUCCACAUCCCGAGCAAGACAGGUGCCCCCGAAACCAUGGGUAAAACAGGCCACCCCGACACCCUGGGUAAAACAGGCCGCCCCGACACCCUGGGAAAAACAAGCACCCCCACCAUCUCCGGCAAGCCAGAUGCCCCCACCACUUCGCACAAGGUAGCUACCCCCUCCACCCCGGGUAAGACAGAUGCCUACACCACCACGGGCAGCGCAGGUGCCCCUGCCAUAGAUGCAUGCACCAACACCAUCACCACCUGAAAGGCAUGCUCCACCAUCAUCAGAGUGGCAUGCGCCCCCACCACCACUGGAGAGAUAUGUGCCUAUACAAGCAUCAGAGGCAAGAGCCCCACAAACACCGGAGUGGCAUGUACCCCCACAAACACCAUCAGAGAGGCCUGCAAACCCACCACUGCCUUCAAGACCAUGUGCCCCAACCAUCAACAUCAGCGAGCCAUGCACCACCACAAACACCAGAGAGGCAUGUGCUCCCACCACCAGAGAUGCUUGCUACCUCACCACUACCAUUGGAGUUGCCUGACCCUCCACCACCACCAUCAGACUGACUUGCAACUCCACCACCACCAUCAUCAGACUGACUCCACCACCACCAUCAGACUGACUUGCUCCAUCACCACCACCACCACCACCAUCGGAGAGGCAUGCACUACCACAAAGAGGUGCUUGCAGACACAUAGCGUAUUAUUUACAAAUACAAUUUAAUUUAAAUGUUUGCUGCAUAAUACUA